UUUUUUAAAACCUGACCCCAGAGUAUGCCAGAUCCGCCACAAAUACAGGAAAUCCACUGUUUACACGGACAGAGUCUCCCCUGUAUUUGCACGGCGUCGAUCAAAUACACAGUACAACCAGGAUACAACCACAACCAGAUGAAUAUAAAGAUAACUAUACAUUCAUACAUUCACCAUUCACAUCGCAGUUUUACAUUCAAGGUUUAAACAGAAAUCCACAAAAAUCUUUUGAAAACUGUUUCUUAUACAGAAACCUUUAUUCUUUUAAAAACGCUACCACGAGGGGUAGAAAACCUUUUAUUUUACAAAAUCCAGAAAUCCACAUUUUCAAAUGUAAAUAAAUACUGAACCACAUAAACCAACUAAACUAUAUAUCAACAGAAAUACCAAGGAUAAUAACUAAAUCGAAAUAACCUGGGUCGGAAGCUCUAUCGACCGCUACACACGUACCUCACGUCUCGUCCCACUACUCAUCGCCCACGAUACCUGAAAAAUGGUGGGGGAGGUGAGAACAUGUAAACAUGUCUCCCCUCCCAGUGGGUACCGCAAGCCGAAGAAGGCGAGGAGUACUCACCGGAUCAGGAAGAGA
rnacentral:lncRNA from 1 species